GACAGAGGGUGCGAACGUUGUUCGGAAUUACUGGGCGUAAAGCGCAUGUAGGCGGCAGCGCAAGUCAGGCGUGAAAUCCCACGGCUCAACCGUGGAAGUGCACUCGAAACUGCGCAGCUAGAGUCCUGGAGAGGAAGGUGGAAUGCUUGGUGUAGAGGUGAAAUUCGUAGAUAUCAAGCGGAACACCGGUGGCGAAGGCGGCCUUCUGGACAGUGACUGACGCUGAGAUGCGAAAGCGUGGGGAGCAAACAGG
rnacentral:rRNA from 1 species